rnacentral:lncRNA from 1 species
UUUCAUCCCCGACAACAUUGUCCAGCACUCGGUGUUUGUUAUUUUCUCCAGACGAUUAUGUUUCUCCGUCGGCCCAGCUGAGUUGGUUGAUUAAUCCCCUACGGAGUUUAGUAUGUAUUCCCCAGCCGAGUUUAUAUUUGGUCUCAAGCAGAGUAAGAACGGUUCUUUGCAACAAUUUGCAUGGUUCUGAUAGGACUUUGCUUUCUCCACCAGUCGCCAUCAGAUUCGCUUCCAGUCAGAGUUUCCUCCUGGUUUCUGAGCAGUCAUUUGUG